AUUGAACGCUGGCGGCAUGCCUAACACAUGCAAGUCGAACGGUAACGCGGAGAGCUUGCUCUCUGGCGACGAGUGGCGGACGGGUGAGUAAUACUUGGGAAUCUGCCCAGUAGUGGGGGACAACAUUCGGAAACGGAUGCUAAUACCGCAUACGCACUACGGUGGAAAGUGGGGGAUCUUCGGACCUCACGCUAUUGGAUGAGCCCAAGUCGGAUUAGCUUGUAGGUAGGGUAAUGGCCUACCUAGGCGACGAUCCGUAGCUGGUCUGAGAGGACGAUCAGCCACACUGGGACUGAGACACGGCCCAGACUCCUACGGGAGGCAGCAGUGGGGAAUAUUGGACAAUGGGCGCAAGCCUGAUCCAGCAAUGCCGCGUGUGUGAAGAAGGCCUGCGGGUUGUAAAGCACUUUCAGUAGAGAAGAAAAGCCUAGGGUUAAUACCCCUGAGUCUUGACGUAACCUACAGAAGAAGCACCGGCUAACUCCGUG
rnacentral:rRNA from 1 species